UACGUAGGGUGCGAGCGUUAAUCGGAAUUACUGGGCGUAAAGCGUGCGCAGGCGGUGAUGUAAGACCGAUGUGAAAUCCCCGGGCUUAACCUGGGAACUGCAUUGGUGACUGCAUCGCUCGAGUAUGGCAGAGGGGGGUAGAAUUCCACGUGUAGCAGUGGAAUGCGUAGAGAUGUGGAGGAAUACCGAUGGCGAAGGCAGCCCCCUGGGUCAAUACUGACGCUCAUGCACGAAAGCGUGGGGAGCAAACAGG
rnacentral:rRNA from 1 species